GAAAAAGGAUCCAGAAGGAGAAGACGUUUGGCUUAUACCCCAGUUGAGCUGCCUGUGGGAGUGGAGCCGGAGCUUCGCUAGACCGUAAUUCCGCUGCAGUUUUCUUUUCUUUUGAAAGUAUGUAACACUAUAAAUAGUGAUGAUUCUGUAUAUUAAAUUGUCAGUUUGUGUACCUCGGCUGAUUCCUGGACGAGGAUUUUAUGCACAAAUAAGUUCGGAAAUUACUAGUGAAUUUCUGGGCGGCGUAACAAUUCAAAGAUCAUUUCAUUGAUUAAUUUAAUUGGAAAAGUAAUAAUAAUCCUCUUCCUAGUCUUGGGCCCUUUCCAGCCCAUCUCCCUCUUUUGUCUGCACGGCCGUGCAGCCCAAGUCGGCCCAGCCGAGCUUCCCCCUUCUCUUUCUUUCUUUGCUUUGUUUUCAGCCAGCCCAAGACGAAAAGUCUAAUUUGCCUCCCUCGACACUGUUUAUCUUCCACCUCUAGCAGCCGAACUGAGACCGAUUUGGCUCGGUUUUUCUCCUCCAAAUCUGACCUUUCCCCUUGUGUUUUUCUAAAAUUAGUUGAGGGGAAAUAUUCCUCUUAUCCUCCUCUAUCUUUCCCCUCAAGAAUCGGAGCAAAUGGUUGAGUAUCUUGCCCGAAUCAAACUCGUUUUCGAGUUUAUCUCCAAAACCGAGUUUUCUCGGAUCGAUUUCUUGCGGGAGGAGUCCGAUCUCUUCAAUCCAAGGCUAUAAAUAGGACCCCCUAGUUCCCCUCUUUCGUUUGCCCCAUCUCCCGUGGUCUCCCGUGCUCCGUAGAGUCGCCGCCGCGCGCACCUAGUUCGCCGCCGCCGCCGGCCGUCUUCAGCCACGCCGCGCCGUCGCUUGCGUCGUCGCCGCCGCUUGCCGCCGCCGCCGUUAGGUGCGCCGUGGUGAGGAGAACCUCGGCCGCCCGUCCCCCUUCGCCGCCGACCACCGGAGCUCCGCCGUCGCCGUCAAGCCGAGCCGCCGCCGCCGUCCUCUUCGUCGCCGGCCAUCAUCGUUCGUCGUUUGUCAUUGUGGUGAGUACCGUUGGGUUCGCCUCGUCGUCCUCUACGCGUAGGUGUCCUCCAAUCACCCGGCCAAGGUCCCUAGCUCCGGCGAGGUCGCCAACCCUAGCCGGCCUCCGUGGGUGAUGUCAUGCUGACAUCAUCAUCCUUUCUUUUUUUUCCUUUUUUCUAAUAGAUGAAAUCUUCGGAAAAUCAUAACUAAAUAACCAUAGAUCCGUUUCAGGUGGUUCAAGUUGCUAAAUUUUUCUAAAAUAAAGAUCUACAUAUUAAAAUUGUCCAUAAAUUGAAUUAAAUUUAUUUAAGUCUUUUUAAAUGGACUUUAAUUAGAUUUAAUCUUGUAAAAUUCAUAAUAAAUUCAUUUGAAGUCGGAAUGAGGCCGUUCAAGUCUCAUAAUUCAUCUAAAAUUAUGAUCUACAUGUUUGUUUACUUUUUAUGUAUUGUUUAUUUGGUUUUUAUUAGUCUUUUUCUUCGUUUUGCGUGUUAGCUUGUCGUUUCCGUCGUUGCGAAGGUUCGUGAGUGCGUCGGAAGUGAUCAAGAAGGUUAAUUGAAGAUCGAUUAUUGCAAGGCAAGUCACACAGAUCCUAAACACAAUCCUUUGAGCAUGUUGAUCCUAUAUUUAAAUUCUCUAUUUAUUUCAACUGUGCAUUUAUUUUCGAAUGUCACCGGGUGGUGUGAACCUAUUCCUUUGUUAUGGCCAAUUUGCAUUGAAUGCCCUAUUCCUUGAUACCUUGGGUAAUAAAUUGAUUAGCUUGAACCUUAUGUAUUGGUUUGGUUCAGCUAAAAGUUAUAUAUAUAAUUGCUUAGCAAUGCUUAGAAACAUUAGCUCACUAAUGGGAUGAAUCAUAUAUACUACAUUAUUAUUUAUGGUUAUAUUUAAUGGUAGCUCACGAUGGUUAAUCGUGUGAUGUUAAUUAAUUGAUAAUUAAAACCUGGUUAAGGUGGGUUGUGAGCAUAUGGUUUUGAUGGUUGUGCUCAUGACAAUUAAGGACCGGUUCGCGAGCUACUGUUGUGAGACAUUAACCGUACCAACCACAAGCCAGCGUGGGCAACGGCUUUAUCCUUUGUAUAGCAUGGUUCAUUAUAGUGCGCCAGACUGAGAAGUGGCGAGAAGUCCACGGGGGUCGCUGGGGAGUCCAUGCCUUGUUUAUAAGGGGGUGAUUAUGAUCCAGGAACGGUGCACUGUUUUGAGUUGUGUUGUGCAAAGGGUAUUGUCACGAUUUCCCCCUUUGCAAUGCCGUGGUGGUAUUUCGGGGCAUGGCAACAUGUGUGGAAUCGUGUCUUGUGGGUACAGUGGUACACCUCUGGCCAGAGUAAAACUAUUCGAAUAGCCGUGCCCGCGGUUAUGGGCGGGUUGAGCAAUGUUUUUCGUGAUUAGUCUCACACCUCUCACAAUAAUUAUGGAUGUUAUAUCUGGUAAUAAUUUGUUUAGCUCCUGGUUUGGAGUUAGAUCUGUACAGCCGGGUAUGGUUGUUCAGGAUGGUUGGGCCUGUGCAGCAUGGGUGUGCUGUUCAGUGUUGAUUAAAAUUUCUGAUUAAUUACUCCACUGUUUUACUCCUCUUAAAUGUUUUGCUAAAUGCUGCUUUUGCAAAUGAGCCUAUAUUAUGCCAUCCUUUGGUAUCCUUGUGCACUUGCAUAUUUGCUGUGUGGCUUGUUGAGUAUGUCAUAUGCUCAUUCUUGCAAUAAUCAAUCAACCUCAGUUGAAGAAAAAGGAUCCAGAAGGAGAAGACGUUUGGCUUAUACCCCAGUUGAGCUGCCUGUGGGAGUGGAGCCGGAGCUUCGCUAGACCGUAAUUCCGCUGCAGUUUUCUUUUCUUUUGAAAGUAUGUAACACUAUUAUUGAUGGAUUUGUAUAUUAAAUUGUCAGUUUGUGUACCUCGGCUGAUUCCUGGACGAGGAUUUUAUGCACAAAUUAGUUCGGAAAUUAUUAGUGAAUUUCCGGGCGUGACAAGUUGGUCAAAAAUAAAUGCACAGUUGAAAUAAAUAGAGAAUUUAAAUAUAGGAUCAACAUGCUCAAAGGAUUGUGUUUAGGAUCUGUG
rnacentral:lncRNA from 1 species